rnacentral:rRNA from 1 species
AACGAACGCUGGCGGCAGGCUUAACACGUGCAAGUCGAACGCCCCGCAAGGGGAGUGGCAGACGGGUGAGUAACGCGUGGGAACAUACCCUUUUCUACGGAAUAGCUCUGGGAAACUGGAAUUAAUACCGUAUACGCCCUACGGGGGAAAGAUUUAUCGGGGAAGGAUUGGCCCGCGUUGGAUUAGCUAGUUGGUGGGGUAAAGGCCUACCAAGGCGACGAUCCAUAGCUGGUCUGAGAGGAUGAUCAGCCACAUUGGGACUGAGACACGGCCCAAACUCCUACGGGAGGCAGCAGUGGGGAAUAUUGGACAAUGGGCGCAAGCCUGAUCCAGCCAUGCCGCGUGAGUGAUGAAGGCCUUAGGGUUGUAAAGCUCUUUCACCGAUGAAGAUAAUGACGGUAGUCGGAGAAGAAGCCCCGGCUAACUUCGUG